ensembl:lncRNA
UCCUCUCAGAGUAAAAGCUAAAAGCCACUUGUAGGUCACUUGACCUUCCUCUUUUCUUGUUUCUGUCAUCUGGCUCAUCUCUGUUGCAGGUGCCGUCUCAUCACAGCAUUAGAGUAAGGCCUUCAGCUUUGGACACUCUCAUUUUAUUUGAUUUAUUAGUUUCAUUUCUAAUUAUACUGUAGUAUAUUGUGUUAUAGUGUGUUAUCUUGCAUUGCAAUAUCUUAUUUAGUAAAUUUGUUUCUCCUCAUAUCAUAGCCACUGUUUUGUUUUUAGGCCCAUUUCUCUACCCUUUUCUCAUUUUCCCUUUUCCCUUUCCUGGGGAGUGGGUCCAUGGGUCCCGCUGCCCUGCUAAUCAUGGAACCAGGCCGAACCAGCCCAUAAACCACUGACAUAAAUAAACGCAACUUUUUAAUUGAAUUCUUGGCACAGGUCAAUGCUCUCAUGAAGAAACAGAUCUUUCUAAGUGGAAGGCUGGUUACUGCUUAGAUGGGUAUGGAAAAGUUUCCAUUGUCCAUUUACAAGCAUCAAAUCUAUGAAAAAAAUAUGAUCAACUUUGCAGCGAGAAUCAGAUGGAUUACUGUCUGGAAAGAAUGGACAAAUUCUCCUUCCAUGAGUAAUCAAUCAUUGGCCUAUGCAUAGCAGAAGAUGCCUGGAGGAGAACUCUGGGCCAUACAGAACUCUGACCUCAGAGCUCCAGUACUGAUAAAGGCUUAAAUCUUCUGCAGUGUGUGAAAUGGUCUUCAGGCCAGAGCAGCUAGUCUAAGUUUGUUUCUGUACCUAUAAGGAGUAAUUUGGAGGGACUCACAAAAACAAAACAAACAUAGACAAGCAAAAAACAGAGACAGCAGCCAAAUACUGCAUCAUUCAUAUUUGGCAGCUAUGAUAUUGGUUUAUGUUUGUCUGUUGUGUCAAUAUUUAAUACAAGUCUUCUGCUGUGAGUCUGUCUUACGCUUUUAACAAUAGUGCCUGUUAUAUGCAUCCCCCUGAGGAACUGAGAUGUCUUAAACAGUGUGGAAACAAGACUAAAAAAGAAAAGAUCCUAGGUCUCCCAUUUGCUUUCUAAGAAAUCGUUUGAUGCCUCUGAGAAAGAUUCAAGAAAGCUUCAGAACAUAAAUAAUUUCCUGCACUACAGAAGACAAUGUGAUGUUAAGCAAUUGGCUGUAGGAAACUUGAAGUAUGGGAAUAUUUAUUGAAGCUCCUGGAUUUAAGGUGUUUUCAUUCUCACUGAAUCUAGUGCUUGCGGUUCCUCCCUGAAGACUGAUAUAGGAAAAUCACUCUUGUAAAGAAGUUCUUGACUGACAGUGCACAAUAAUUUAGUCCAAUGAUUAUAAGUUAUGGCCCAGAAAGUGCUGAAGAAGUGUAAUUGCUCCUACAUACCAAGAAGGAAUGACUGAAAAAAGUAAGAUUAUUGUCAGUAGCGAAAAUUUAUAGUGCAGGAGUCUGCACUUCCAUGAGAAUGGUUUAAGUAUCAGUAAAUUGUAAAAGAUGGAAAAAUAUUUGCUUGUCACUGGUGAUAUUUACUCAAGAAAUUGAAGAGAGAAAUCGGAUUCUGUGCUUAUCUCAGGAGCUUUUAACUAUUUAUGGAAUAAGCAGGAAAAUUCUUGACUUUCUGUUCAAAAUGAGCCAUUCUGUAGCCAGGAAUGAGAAAGUCAAGAAACCAGAAGGAGAACUAACAGAAAUUGUAUGACUCUAAAAUACAGAUUGAAAAUAUCACAGAACUAUUGGGAGAUUUUACAGCAGUAAGUCACUAAAUAGUGGAUAGGGAAAAUUUAUUUUGCAUUAGGGCAUCUUGACAAUAUAAUGCAUGUUACACUGGUCAAAAAUUUCUAAAAUGUUUCAAGCCAUAUAAAAAGAAAUCAAAAUGUUAUAAGGUACAUACUACAGAUUCCUGGAUGAAUAAAUACACUGUAGAAUGGUAAUAUCUUACAAAUCUUCCAGAAUUGGAAAAUUUGAAAAAAUAAAGGAAGAUAAAUAAAUAGCAAAUUGUAUUUCUGGGCUUGUGGAGUGAUUCUCUACAGUUUCUAGAAUUUUUUUUUAUUUUUAUUUUUUUUUUAUUUUUAUUUUUAUUUAUUUAUUUUUUUUUUGACCACAGAGAAAACCCUGUAUCCUGUAUUCAUGAUUUGGAUAGGCAAAAGUUUUGACUGUGUGCUUCUUGACUUGCUACAAUACACUGGAACAUACUAUCUUCUAUUAAAGCACUGUUUUUCACAUAAAGUAUUUUUUGAACAUAACGUUCACAACUAUAAGUAUGCUUUUUAAGAUAAAAUUAUUUUUUCCUGACAGGUAACAUUUUAUUCAGUUCAGCAUUUUACUCAUGUUCAGUGAAAUACAGUAACUUCAGCUGGGUCAAGACUUCAUGUAACCACAUCAGCAUGACAAAUUAAAUUACAGGACUGAAAUCUAACUUGGAAAAAUGUUUUCUCUUGUUAGAAUGUUCUUUGUCCAGAACAAGUCUAAAUCUGUAAUGAACUGUCCAAAUUACGGGCUGAUACUUCAGUUAUUUGUUGAAUUCUACUUGCGUCGAAAAAUUACUGCUCAAAUACUAAAUGUAAGUAGUGAGAUUGUUUACUUCUGCAUAGUUUUGCUUAUCAAGCUGCCUAUUUCACUUUUCUUUAUUAUUUUCUUAUCAGAUCAGAAUUACAAGCAAAUUAUGCUUUUCAAACCCAGUGUUUUCUUCCUAUGUUUUUUAUAGAAAUUAAAAAAAAAAAGAUACUGUCAUCUUCGAUCAGACCUAGGUAGAAUAAUGCCUGUCUAAAGAAAAAGUCUUUAUUGAAUAAUCAAUCAAAAAAUUAAUAAAAAGUGACAUUUUGUUUAUGAGCAACAACAUUCCACUGAGUAAGCAAAUGACACCUCUCAUAAUCUCUCUGAAAAAGAAAUACACAUGAAUUAAGAGGAGCAAAUCUCAUGACCCUUCACUGCAUUUUCCUAUUUUGCUGGUACAUCUCCUCAGCCUAAAGCUCUCUCUUCUCCUCAGCCUAAAGCUCUCUCUUUUAUGUAAAAGCUUUAAACACUUGACUAUCGGAAUUUUAAUUUUAUUUAACUGACACUUACUGAAACAGUUUUUUCACUCUAAGAACAUUACAUGAAAAGUUGUUCAAGAAGGAGCUGUUCUCUGUUAAUAAACUCAGUUGCUAAAAUAUUGUUUGUUCCUGCCAUCAAAGAGAAAAUACAAUUGAAAGGAACCAAGACCUUAUGUGUAGAAGAAAAUGCAAUAGGAGGUACUGUGUUAGAACACAAGCUCACAAGUACAGAAUCAGAUUAGACAUUGUUAUAGCAAGGUCCCCUAUUGCCAUGAACACUGACAACCUAUGCAAUCUGUCUCGUGCUGCUUUACCAGCAGGGACUCAGUUCUGAUUCAGAAGGCCCAACUUCAUCACAGAGGGAAUUAAGCUGUUUCUCUUCAGUCCCUGGUCUGUCCCUUGAGCUUGGUAAGGAAGAUGUCACUAAGUACAUAGAGUGGUAGGACUGUGGACACUUGCUAUGAGAUGGAUUGAUACCUGUAGCACAUAUUCAUUUUGAGUGCACCUUGGCUGAACCAGUGACCUAGGACUGAAGUGCUUAGGUGACGAAAUAUUGUAUCAGAAGGUGUUACGGUUCAAAAUUACUACCAGUCAAAAUUAAGACAAAAUGAUGAGUGAGAAAAAAAGAGAGAGAGAGAGAGAGAGAGGAAAUAUAAAACAAAGUAUAUAUGAAAGGUCACCUACACAGUUGAUGCUGGUGCAAAUACAGAUGUAAAGAUGUAAAAGAAAUUGUCCCCCAAAGCUGUAGCAUGAACAUUUAAGAAAAUAGAAAUCUUACAUAUUGAACAAAUGCUCAUGUUCACAUCCACAUAUUCUGCCUGGCAGAUUUCUCGUGAUAGUGCAAGUAGCAAGUGAAGUCAUUACCAGUGGGAAUUAAUUUACAGUGUAUUGUGAAUGAGCAGAAAUUUAUCAAGCAAUCAUAAAUUAUAAAUUAUAUAAAUUAUAACCUUACAACUUAUAGUAUAAAAUAAAGCAUUAAUUGAAGACAAAUAAAAAUUAUAUACAUAUAUUACAUACCACUAUAACCUAUUUUUCUUAUUUACUACUUAUUUUCAAAUCCUGGAGAUUUUAGACAUGUCUACUCAAGCAAAAACAGGCAAAUCUCAUUUAGUCUUUGUUGUAUGUGAAUCCGAUUGUGUUCUUUGUGUGAGCUAAUAAACUGCAAAGUGGAAAGCUAUCCAAGUUCCAGUGUAAUGCCUCCCUAAUACGAUGGUGAGUUUAUAGCAUAAAAUUGUCUCACUUCAGAAGAAUCCACAUGUAUGCAGCCUAACGGACAGAUCUGAAUACUAUUGGUCCAAAAUUGGGAUAUCAUCUGCAGCAUUGCUAUUACGUUCUGUAUUUUCUGUUAUCCA